AACGGACCCCUCGCGUGGCGUUAUCGCUCCGAACUCCCCCAGGGCCGGAAGGCAGCAAGGGUAAGAGCGCUCUGACGGGUGCGCGAGGGGUUCUCUUGC
rnacentral:SRP_RNA from 1 species